CACGAGGGAGGGGGCAGGCCUGUGUUCCCCAGCUCCCCUCUCCCUCUGGAGCCCCUCAAGCCCCCGGUCUGGACUCGGUGAUGUGGGACACGGGAGAAGAGGCGGCCCUGGUGUUGGUGCACCUGGUGGGCAGGACCCCAUCCAAGACAUCAUGUUGCAUUUGGUCAUCGUGUCUCCUCGGUCUCCUCUGGUUCAUGACAGUUUCUCCGUAUUUCCUUGCUUUUUGGAAUCUUGGCAGUUUUGAGGAGUACUGGUCAGAUAUUCUGUAGAGUUUCCUAGUGUUAUUUUUCAGCAGUAAAAAAGCCUUUCUUA
rnacentral:lncRNA from 1 species